UAGUGCGACUCUGUCUAAAACCUGCCCAGCUCUGGUAUGAGUGUGUGUGUGUGUAUGUGUGUGUGUGCGCCCAAGCACACCAAAAAUAAGUAAAUGUCAAAUGUGUUCCUUUCUGGAUUGCCACCUCGUUUUUUCAAGACAAGGUCUCCAAUGGGCUGGACUGGCGGCUAGCAAGCUGCACGGCACGAGCUUUACUGUCAAUCCACUGAACAGUGAGGUUCCAGAAGCACACCACUGCUCCUGGUUUUGAUGUGAAGGAUCUGCACUUAGCUCCUCAAGCAGGUACUUUUCCCUGAUAAGCCAUCUCCUCAACCUGGCCAGCUCUGUUCUAACAGAAAAGCAGACAACUUCAGAAGCCCAGCUCUGGCCCAGCCAGGUCCAUUUCUCCUAUCUAAAGAAAGAAAGAAAAAAAUCAACCCUUCAUACACAGCAGCCCUGAAGGAGAGCGGCGAGCUUCAGUGUGCUGAGCCUCCAGCUCUGGCACGGACUCUCUGCAGCCCGCAUCCUCACGGCCACUGCGGCUCCCAUUCGGGAGGAGCCACUCACAAGGCUGGCCUUGGAGGCAGCUGCCAGGAGACCUGGGCCUUAGCAAGGAGGCCAUUCCUGCCACCGUCUCUCCCAGCUACUGCCAGCCUCACUUCGGAAACCGAGGCAGCGAAGCAAAGCCGUUCGGCGUAACAGCUGAGAAAGGCCAUGGGAGGUUUUCAAAUUCAAGGAAACACAUUCGAUACACAGGGAACAUGAGUGAAAAAACAGCCCUGUAUCCUGACCCACAAAGUUGACUUCAACAGUGGUCCAGCAGCCUUCCAGCCAACAGGAGCUGAGCCCAGGGGACAGAGCGGAGAGGGCAUAGCCUGCUAUGGGGCAUGAGAAGCUCUAGUAAUUUUAACUGUGAGAGGAGAGGGACGGGGGGAAAAAAGCAGCCAAGGAGCCAGGAAUUCUAUUCUCAAAAGGACAGGAACCUCCAGAGCUACCAGGCCUUUAUUUUCUGCUCUAUUGACUCUUCAGAGUAAGAUAGCUCUCUUUGACUAUUUCACAAAUAUCAAGGCAGUCAUUUUAAAAUCCAUUUGUUGAUAUAACCCAAGAAAGACACUAUGAGCAGCCAGAUAAACAGUCUUGGGGGAACCUCAGGGGGAGGGAACAAGGCCAGAGAACUGCAGGCAGCCUGGGUACCAUGGGGACUGGGGUGGGCAUCUCACUGGUCUGAGUCCGGCUGUCCAAGCAGUUUUCAGCCUCCAAGGUUGUGUAGAACCUUUCGGGAGGCGAGUCCCGGGUCAUCUCCUUAAUCUCCUUCCCAGAUAGCACUGGCUCCUCUGGUCUUAACCUCCUACUGGGGUGUGUUUGCUUAGGCAGCAUGUGUGCUGAAAAACAAACACAACUACUGGGCUCAUCAUGUUAACUGCCAGAGAGUAAAUCACGAAAUUAAAAAGCCAUCUAUAACACAGGCUUUUGACUAUUUUAAGUAUGCAAUUUAACGACAUUUGACCACGGUAAAAAUGUACGGCCACUGUCACUGCUUCCAAAAGACAGCUGCCUUAAAUAGGAACUCUACCCACUAAAAAAGGAUCACCUGUUUCCUCUCCACCCUGCUCUUACCCCCCAGGAAGCUCUAACUUGCCAUAGGUCUAUUCUAUAUAUUUCAUAUACAUAAAAUCACACAGUAUUUAUUCUUUACUGUCUAGCAUUUUUUGAUGGAGUUUUCAGGGCUUUCUGUUUCAUAGCUAACUAGUAUUCCACUGAAUGGUUAUACCACCAUUGUUUUAUCUAUCCAUCUACUCAUAUGCAACUGAGUUUUUUUCUAGUGCUGCUACUGAACUUUUCCUUUCUUCUAUU